GGAAUACCUCAGAUGGUAGAGCAUGAAACUCUUAAUCUCAGAGUCAUGGGUUCAAGCCACAUACCUUGGAACA